UUUAAGGGAUUUAGUGAGGAUGUCCUCCAAUUGGUCAUUUGAAUUGACGAAACUUGUGGCAAUACUUCUUGACUCAAUUUUCUGCUUGAAAAAAUGACAAUCCACCUCUAUGUGUUUUUUCUUUUCAUGAAAAAUAGGAUUAGAGGCAAUAUGUAUUACUGCUUGAUCAUCACAAACCAAUGUCAUCUGUUGAAAAUCCCCACACUUGAAUUCUUGGAGAAGUUGUUUUAACCAAACAAGCUUAUAAGUGGCUAAAGCCAUGGCUUAGUACUCUGCGUUUGCGCUUGACUUAGUCACAACAUCUUUCUUUUUACUUUUCCAAAAUAUUAGAUUUCCUCCAAUUAGGACACAAUAACUUGAAGUAGACCGUCUAUUCGAGGGAGAACCUGUCCAAUCUGUAUUAGAAUAUCCCACAAUUUGAUUAACAGUCCUUGUCUUGGGUCUCCUUUGAUGCAUCUAAGAAUGUGAAUUGCUGCGUUUCAAUGACUAUCACAAGGAGCUUGAAGAAAUUGACUAACCACACUUAUGGUAAAAGAAAUAUCUGAUCGUGUGAUUGUGAAAUAGAUAAGCUUACCAACUAAUCUCCGAUAUUUACUAGGAUCUUUAAGUGGCUUCCUCUAUCUAGGAACAAGUUUAACAUUUGGAUCCAUGAAAGUAUCACAUGCUUGCAGUCUAACAUGUCAAUCUCUUCUAAUAUGUCCAAAGCAUAUUUUCUUUGUGAAAUAGCAAUACCUGUCUUGGACUGUGCCACUUUGAUCCUCAGAAAAUACUUUAAUUUCCCUAAAUCUUGAGUCUGAAAGUGAUUGAACAAAUGCUGCUUAAGUUGAGAAAUCCCUUCAUGAUCAUUACUUGUUACGACAAUAUCUUCAACAUAAACCACUAGAUAAAUGCAUUUACCAUGAUUAUUACGAAGAUAAAACACUAAAUGAUUAGCUUCACUUGGAAACAUCCAAAACUUUUUGACAACAGCACUGAAUUGGCCAAACCAUACUCUUGGGGAUUGCUUUAAGCCAUAUAAAGAUCAUUGUAGUCGACACAUUAAGCUAGACUCCCCUUGAGCAACAAAUCUUGGUAGUUACUCUAUAUACAUUUCCUAGGCUAAUUCCCCAUGCAAGAAAUCAUUUUUAAUAUCCAAUUAAUAAAGAGUCUAGUGAUUCAUGGUAGCAAGAGAAAUAAGAAGUCGAACAUAUGUAAUUUUGGCCACUGGGGAAAAAGUAUCACUAUUAUCAAGGCUAAAGAUCUGAGUGUAACGUUUGGCUAUAAGGUGAGCCUUAAGCCGAUUAAUUUUGCCAUCAGGACCAAUUUUGACCAUGUAGAUCCAAUGACAACCAAUAGUAAAUUUGCCCUGUGGCAACGAAACCAACUCCCAACUACCAUUAUUAUGGAGAGCAGUCAUC
rnacentral:misc_RNA from 1 species